CUUUGCCCUAAACCACUCCAAGGCGGUUUCUUCCUAUCUAUUUCUUUUUCUUCCACGACGUCAAGCUCUUUUCCUCCUCUACUUUGCUCGGCGCCGACCUGAUCUAUUCUUCCUCGCGUGCCCUAGAUUUUUUUUUGUUUGCCGCCGGCUGAGUUUUUCUUCCCGCAUGAAGCUAUCCCAGCGACGCUGCCGACUGCCUCCUCUGCCAUCGCCCUCGCUGUGGAGACUACCACAGCCGACGCCGAUCACCGACCACAGGAGCUCCAGCGCCGCACCGUGCCCUAGCUUCCUCUCCUCUGCCGCCCCUCUUCUUGUUCUCUGCACUGUGCGCCGCCACCCUGGUUGACUCGGUUGCCCUAGAUCGCUGGAAAACCAGAAGCUGGAGAAGAUGACAACAAGCGCCAGUAAGUUGACAGUGGGAUUGAAGAGUCUUGGUCACCAGCAGCGGCUACUCCUUUCGGCGACACUAUCCCUAGUUGCGGAUCAACAGCGGCUGUGAAUUGAGGGAUAUGGAUUUGGUGGACAGCAGCCGUUGGAGUUCAUAUGAGUGGAAUAUAUGGAUCAGGACUGAUUCUUGGAGGUAAUUUGAUCAUGGUAAUUCCAGCCUUGGAUUAGUGGUGGUUUAUCCCAAUUUGGGUAAGUUACUAUGGUUGAUUAUGCUCAU